rnacentral:rRNA from 1 species
UACGGAGGGCGCGAGCGUUGUCCGGAAUCACUGGGCGUAAAGGGCGCGUAGGCGGCCCUGGUAAGUCUGCGGUGAAAGCCCGGGGCUCAACCCCGGGUCGGCCGCGGGUACUGCCGGGCUGGAGUGCCGUAGGGGCAGGCGGAAUUCCGGGUGUAGCGGUGGAAUGCGUAGAGAUCCGGAAGAACACCGGUGGCGAAGGCGGCCUGCUGGGCAGUUGCUGACACUGAGGCGCGACAGCGUGGGGAGCAAACAGG